rnacentral:hammerhead_ribozyme from 1 species
AUUCAAUUGCCGAGUCCAAAGUAGAACGAAACGCGCGUCAUGGAU